AACUGCUUCAUCCAAUUCAGGGUCUCAGGUUACACACAGGCAACACGAGCAAGAGUUUAUACUGUGAACUGCUACAGUAAGUAAUAGGUCCCUCAGCUGAAUGGCCUUCCUUCAUGUGCCAAUAUAGUGUUUGGCCACAAGAGGCAUCACAGUCCAGCUCCAGGCUCAGCACCCAUCCGAGCAAUUCUCAGUGAGCUGAGUGGCAGGCCGACAUUUUACAAAAACAUCUCCGUUUUACAA